GCCAUCUGGAGAAGACGGCAGUGACCCUGGAGGUGACAGAGAAGUGGGAGUUUGCCAGGUAGAGAAGGGCAGGAAGAGGAUUCCAUGCUAGAGCAACCUGGAGGAGCAACUGUGCAAAGUUCUGCAGGGGUGCUUUAGGAUUUGCUGAGCACCUACUAUGCAUCAGACGCUGUGUUCUAGGCAAGGGGGAUACACCUGAUGGAAGAAGGUCCUUCCCUAGACGUAGCUAACAUCCCAGUGUGGGAGAUGACACGAAACAGCAAACUCCCCACAACAGCCUCCUCAACGCUGCCUCCCACAGUGCUUGGACAAAAUAAUUACAGCAAGAUGCGGGCACUGAGCUGACUCCUUAUGUAGGACAUCCCAGUGCAGUUGUCCCCACCCUGAAGAUCACCACUGAAACCUCUGGGACCCAUGUACAUGUGCAAGACAGAGUGAAUCUCACCUGCCACGUCCUCCACUUCUAUCCCGCCCACCUGCGACUCACCUGGAUGGAGAACAGGAGCAUGAUCCAGACCCUGGUGUCCCCUCGUCCCCUCAGGCCACCAGAAAUCCAGAUGGGACAUACUCUCUGGAGCACACGUGGCAGGCAGAGGCCACGCUGGAGGAGCGUGAGUUUGCUUGCUGGGUGGUCCACGAUGAGCAGCCCCCACUCAAGGCCAACGUCACCCUGCAAGCCCAGGUGCGCAGGCAGGGGAAAGGGAUGUGGAUAAAGCUGGAAGCCAUCAUCCUCAGCAAACUAAUGCAGGAAGAGAAACUCAAACACUACGUGUUCUCACUCAUAAGUGGGAGCUGAACAAUGAGAACACAUGGACACACGGAGGAGAACAACACACACCGAGGCCUGUUGCAGCAGGCCAGAGUGUCCAGCCUUACAAGUUGCAAGGCCCCCUUCAGCGAUCUGAGCCUGGCACAAGGAUCCGAUUGACCUAUGCAUCCUCUGGGUUCUCGACACACCAGGUUACUGUGACCUGGCUUAAAAACAAACACGAGCUCCCAAACCCCCAGACCAGCGUCCAGUACAGUGGACACACCUACAAUGUGACCAGCAGUGUGCUUGUCCCGCUGAUGGAUGAUGAUGUGUUCUCCCACGUCGUUUGCCAUGUGGAGCACAAGUUGACG
rnacentral:lncRNA from 1 species